ensembl:rRNA 5S_rRNA 5S ribosomal RNA
UUUAAUAAUAAUGUCUCCCUGACAUCUCCCUGCAGUUCUUGCCUGGUUUCCCACUAAAGCUAAGCAGGGUUGAGCCUGGCCAGUACCUGAAUGGGAGACCUCCUAGGGAAAACUAAGGUUGCUGCUGGAA